UGAAGGCUGGAAUGAAUGGUUGNNNNNNNNAUUAACUGUUUCAAAUAAAUUUUUUAUAGAAUUUUAUUUUUUAGUUAAAAAGCUAAAAUUUAAUUAAAANANNAGAAGACCCUAUAAAUCUUUACUUAAAAUUAUAUUUUAAUUAUAAAGAUAAAUUUUAUUAUAAUAAAAUUUUAAGUUUUAUUGGGGUGAUAUUAAAAUUUAAUAAACUUUUAAUUUUUUAAAACAUAAAUUAAUGAAUAGUUGAUCCAUUAAUAAUGAUUAAAAAUUUAAGUUACUUUAGGGAUAACAGCGUAAUUUUUUUGGAGAGUUCAUAUCGAUAAAAAAGAUUGCGACCUCGAUGUUGGAUUAAGAAAAAUUUUAGGUGUAGCCGCUUAAAUAUUAAGUCUGUUCGACUUUUAAUUUCUUACAUGAUCU
rnacentral:rRNA from 1 species